rnacentral:rRNA from 1 species
GACGAACGCUGGCGGCGUGCUUAACACAUGCAAGUCGAACGGUAAGGCCCUUCGGGGUACACGAGUGGCGAACGGGUGAGUAACACGUGGGUGAUCUGCCCUGCACUUCGGGAUAAGCCUGGGAAACUGGGUCUAAUACCGGAUAGGACUCCGGACUGCAUGGUCUGGGGUGGAAAGCUUUUGCGGUGUGGGAUGGGCCCGCGGCCUAUCAGCUUGUUGGUGGGGUGAUGGCCUACCAAGGCGACGACGGGUAGCCGGCCUGGGAGGGUGACCGGCCACACUGGGGCUGAGAUACGGCCCGGAGUCCUACGGGAGGGAGGAGUGGGGAAUAUUGCACAAUGGGCGCAAGCCUGAUGCAGCGACGCCGCGUGAGGGAUGCCGGCCUUCGGGUUGUAAACCUCUUUCAGCAUCGACGAAGCGAAAGUGACGGUAGGUGCAGAAGAAGGACCGGCCAACUACGUGCCAGCCGCCGCGGUAA